GGUGAAGGCCCCCUACAGACCAUGGGGUUGAUAGGCCGGAAGUGUACGCACAGUAAUGUGUUCAGCUGACCGGUACUAAUGGCCAAAAACUAGCC
rnacentral:rRNA from 1 species